rnacentral:rRNA from 1 species
AACGAACGCUGGCGGCAUGCCUAACACAUGCAAGUCGAACGAGACCUUCGGGUCUAGUGGCGCACGGGUGCGUAACGCGGGGGAACCUGCCUUUAGGUUCGGAAUAACUGAGAGAAAUUUGAGCUAAUACCGGAUGAUGUCUUCGGACCAAAGAUUUAUCGCCUUUAGAUGGGGCCGCGUUGGAUUAGCUAGUUGGUGGGGUAAAGGCCUACCAAGGCGACGAUCCAUAGCUGGUCUGAGAGGAUGAUCAGCUACACUGGGACUGCGACACGGCCCAGACUCCGACGGGAGGCAGCAGUGGGGAAUAUUGGACAAUGGGCGAAAGCCUGAUCCAGCAAUGCCGGGGGAGUGAUGAAGGCCUUAGGGUUGUAAAGCUCUUUUACCCGAGAUGAUAAUGACAGUAUCGGGAGAAUAAGCUCCGGCUAACUCCGUG